UAAAAACCCAGUGUGGCCAACAUCUUGAUUUUAGCAGAGGACUUAAGCAGAGAACCAAGAUAAUCCUCUUUCCACAACUUGAUAAUGCACAAACUGCAAAUCUUCUGGUACGCACUUCUGCAAGCAAACUUGAAGUCUUUCUGAGCCUGACUCUUCAUUCCUGCCUUGUGUGACCCAGGGAUGGAGGACUGCCCUCCCAACUCAUUAUCCUCUUUGCCCAGGAGCUCCAUCCUGUUGCCAUCUGCUAAAAUCCUCAGCCCACCUGCAUAGUGAACAGCAUUCAUUGUUUUCCAGAAAUGUGCAAGAACCACAGUCUCCCCCAAGACUGAAGAUCUGCUUCAUCGACAUGGCAGGGAACGUGGCUGCACACAGAGGACUCAUUUUUGCAGCUUCCCUACCAGAGAGAGAGAGACACCCUUUUUACCCGAGUUCUGAGUUGAAAUAUCCUAGAAGAGAACUCUGAUUGGCCUGGCUUGGGUCACAUGCCUGUCCUUGAGUUGAUCAACUGUGAUUAGUUAUAAGUGUACUCAUUAGUAACUUCCCCUGGAACCUUAGAUUUGAUGUGGGGUAAGACUUCCAAAAACAAACAAAAAAAUAAAACAGAAGAAUGCUA